GCGGCUUUCAUCUCUAGGCGGCGUGUCACAGACAAUCUACCUGGCCGUCGCGGAGAGCCCAGGGCUGGAGCCGCUCUCGGUGUCUGCUGCAGCAGCCUCGCUGCUCCUGUCCCUGCUGCUGCCGCAAGCCACCCUCUUACCGCAACGGACACAUCCAAAGGUCUCCUUGCUAUGAUGUUUAUAUGGUUUGGAGAGACACCUAAUGGUCAGAGGGCUAACCUGCAGCUAAAGCAGAAUAGCCAACGCACAGCAGGGGAAACAUGCUGGAAGACCAAAAACACAGCAUCUUUUACGGUGGAGGCUGGAGGGAUUUUGUGAGCUGGUUGAAGACUGUCAGACUAAUUCUUUUAAAAGCGACGCUGGGAGCUGGGGGCCCCUGUGCUGCUGUCAGUCGUGGGAGUGGGACACGCAGAGCGAGGCUUUAAUUGUGCUGGAAGACGCGCGCUCGUUAACGUACGGAGGGGAAAGAAGGGAGUUUCAGGACUUCUGUUUCUGUCCUUCUCUCUUUAUGUCUGUCGUUUGUCUUUUUAUCUGUAUCCUGUACCCUUUUCUUCUAAACACCUGUCCUUCUCUUCCUCAAUUCCACCUCUAUCUUUACGUUUAUAUUUUCAUUUUUGCGCUGUUGUUUUCCUACUGAAACGUAGACUCUCAUCCUUUCCUUCAGAUUUAACAAAUACUGUAGGCAGGGUUAAGAUAAUGUAACAUUGCAAAAAAGAGUGCGUCUGAAUGUGUUUUGCAUUGACAGAAAUGUUCCCAUACUCAGUCUCUUAAAUACUUUAAAGUAAUAUUUUAUACUAUAAUACUUUAAAGUAAUCUUUUAUACUAUAAUACUUUAAAGUAAUCUACAGUAUGUUAUUAACUGGAUAUACUGUAUCACGGAACAUUUCAGUUCCCAACAAUUACACAUUUUGAGACUUCGACUUUGAUUUACCAAUAUUGGUAAAUGUAGUUUUCAGAUUAAUUAAUCUGAUAUUUGAAUAUUUCCACUGCAUCAUCUCUCAGAUGGUAGGACAAAUGAAAUAAAAAUGGCUUUCUCCUCAUCUCUCCUCUUCUUUCUAUACAUCUCUCUUCCUUUCUCCCUCAUUUAUUUCUCACACGCACAUACACACACACACACACACACAC